AGUUCUUCGGUAAGGCAAUGGACGAUUCGCUCCGUGCCUCCGUAAAGCUUCGGCGGGACGCGUUCUGCAAGGGGUGCGAUCUGCGCAAUUUUCAUCGCUCAACUCCUGAUAUCGAGGGGCGUCGGCAGGACGUCCCUCGGCGAUAAGAA
rnacentral:sRNA from 1 species